UGCAUUUGUGUGCACACAGCAUGUUUUCUAAUCCUUUAAUCAUUCUUGUGGCUCUUCGCUGAACCUUCUCCAAUGAAUCAUCAGCCUUCUUGAAUUGUGGGCACCAGAACUGGACACAGUAUCCAGCAGCAGU